ensembl:snRNA U2 U2 spliceosomal RNA
AUCGCCUCUCAGCCUUUGGCUAAGAUCAAGUGUAGUGUUCUUAUCACUUUAAUAUCUGCUAUCUGAGGACAGUAUAUUAAAUGGAUUUUUGGAGCAGGGAAAUGGAAUAGGACCUUGCUCUUUCCACUCCAUGCAUCCACCUGGUAUUGCAGUACCUCCAGGAAUAGUGCACCCCCU